UACGGAGGGAGCUAGCGUUGUUCGGAAUUACUGGGCGUAAAGCGCGCGUAGGCGGCUUUGUAAGUUAGAGGUGAAAGCCCGGGGCUCAACUCCGGAACUGCCUUUAAGACUGCAUCGCUUGAAUCCGGGAGAGGUGAGUGGAAUUCCGAGUGUAGAGGUGAAAUUCGUAGAUAUUCGGAAGAACACCAGUGGCGAAAGGCGGCUCACUGGACCGGCAUUGACGCUGAGGUGCGAAAGCGUGGGGAGCAAACAGG
rnacentral:rRNA from 1 species